AUUGAACGCUGGCGGCAGGCUUAACACAUGCAAGUCGAGCGGAGAUGAGGUGCUUGCACCUUAUCUUAGCGGCGGACGGGUGAGUAAUGCUUAGGAAUCUGCCUAUUAGUGGGGGACAACAUUCCGAAAGGAAUACUAAUACCGCAUACGUCCUACGGGAGAAAGCAGGGGAUCUUCGGACCUUGCGCUAAUAGAUGAGCCUAAGUCGGAUUAGCUAGUUGGUGGGGUAAAGGCCUACCAAGGCGACGAUCUGUAGCGGGUCUGAGAGGAUGAUCCGCCACACUGGGACUGAGACACGGCCCAGACUCCUACGUGAGGCAGCAGUGGGGAAUAUUGGACAAUGGGGGGAACCCUGAUCCAGCCAUGCCGCGUGUGUGAAGAAGGCCUUAUGGUUGUAAAGCACUUUAAGCGAGGAGGAGGCUACUGAGACUAAUACUCUUGGAUAGUGGACGUUACUCGCAGAAUAAGCACCGGCUAACUCUGUGCCAGCCGCCGCCGUAAUAC
rnacentral:rRNA from 1 species